GUCUUUGGGGCAGGGUGAAAUUCCCUACCGAUGGUAUAGUCCAUGACCCGCUUUUAAGCGGCUGAUCUGGUGCAAUUCCAGAACCGACGGUAUAGUCCGGAUGGGAAAAGACG
rnacentral:ncRNA from 1 species